rnacentral:rRNA from 1 species
AACCCCUGCCGCCAGUUGCCAACGGGUAGAGCCGGGCACUCUGGCGGGACUGCCAUCGACAAGAUGGAGGAAGUGGGGGAUGACGUCAAGUCAUCAUGGCCCUUAUGUCCAGGGCGACACACGUGCUACAAUGGCCGGCACAGCGGGAAGCGAGGCAGUGAUGCCAAGCGGAUCCCUUAAAGCCGGUCUCAGUUCGGAUUGAAGUCUGCAACUCGACUUCAUGAAGCUGGAAUCGCUAGUAAUCGCAGAUCAGCCAAGCUGCGGUGAAUACGUUCCCGGGCUU